AUCGAGGUCGAUAGAGACGAAGCCGGCGAACUUGCAGGCGGUGAGGUCAGGUUUGAGGCGUAUGCCGUAGCUUUUCGGGACAGCGAAUUUCGGGAGCCGAGCUUGACCUUUGAACUGUUCCAUAUUUUCAAGAUUCGGAAGCAGAAUGUUUAACGGCAUUUCCUCAAACAUGCAUUAUU